AUGAUCACUGAAGUUAAGCAAAGUCAAGCCUGGCCAGUACCUAGAUAGGUGACCACUUGGGAAUACCAGGUGCUGUAAG